rnacentral:rRNA from 1 species
AUUGAACGCUGGCGGCAGGCCUAACACAUGCAAGUCGAGCGGAUGAAGGGAGCUUGCUCCUGGAUUCAGCGGCGGACGGGUGAGUAAUGCCUAGGAAUCUGCCUGGUAGUGGGGGAUAACGUCCGGAAACGGGCGCUAAUACCGCAUACGUCCUGAGGGAGAAAGUGGGGGAUCUUCGGACCUCACGCUAUCAGAUGAGCCUAGGUCGGAUUAGCUAGUUGGUGGGGUAAAGGCCUACCAAGGCGACGAUCCGUAACUGGUCUGAGAGGAUGAUCAGUCACACUGGAACGGAGACCCGGUCCAAACCCCUACGGAGGGAAGCAGUGGGGAAUAUUGGACAAUGGGGGAAAGCCUGAUCCAGCCAGGCCGGGUGUGUGAAGAAGGUCUUCGGAUUGUAAAGCACUUUAAGUUGGAAGGAAGGGCAGUAAGUUAAUACCUUGCUGUUUGGACGUUACCAACAGAAUAAGCACCGGCUAACUUCGU